AUGUCUCUGUUUAAGUUUGAGUGUGCAUGUGUGUGGGAGAGAAAGAGAGAGGGUUGGUUUGCAGGCCUAUAAGUUUGCAUUGGUUCAUCAGAGGCAAAGCAGAAACACCACAUACCCUGAAUUCGUCAUUCACUGUGAAGACAUGCAAGAAAAACUAAAUUUUCUUCAAGAAUUCAAAGCAACACACGCCUCCAGAUCUACGCUUUAACACUGAGUUUAUGUAAGUCUGGCCACUGGGGACUUGGACCUCACAUUCUUCUGGAUCGCUCUUGUAGGAAGAACGCUCUCCCUCUGUGGGAGAUAAAGCAGCCAGCCAAGUCAAACUGGUCCCAGGAUGGAACUGAACAACAGCACCAAAACCCGCCCAAAACCACCCACCUCGAGACUGCUGACAGAAAAGAACAGAACAGAAGAGACUUAGAGUUUUGAUGUUAUCAGCCUCUGUAGAGAUGUGCCACAUGCCAUCAUAGUUUUUGUUUUUGUGCCUCAAAGGACAUUUACAAGAAAAGGAAAACAGUUGACCUGAGUCUGUACAAAGUUGAAUAAACUCCACCUACCAGCACUGAC